rfam:Schistosoma mansoni strain Puerto Rico chromosome 4, complete genome
AUCCAGCUGACGAGUCCUAAAUAGGACGAAAUGCGCGUCAAACUGGAU